UGACUUGCAGGGGCCAGUUCUCUCCAGUU
rnacentral:piRNA from 1 species